AUGCUGCCUUGGCCCUCCUGUUCAAGGCCUGUCGCCUCCGCCGAGGCAAGGGCGCCUGUCGCCUCCGCCGAGGCAAGGGCGCCUGUCGCCUCCGCCGAGGCAAGGGCGCCUGUCGCCUCCGCCGAGGCAAGGGCGCCUGUCGCCUCCGCCGAGGCAAGGGCGCCUGUCGCCUCCGCCGAGGCAAGGGCGCCUGUCGCCUCCGCCGAGGCAAGGGCGCCUGUCGCCUCCGCCGAGGCAAGGGCGCCUGUCGCCUCCGCCGAGGCAAGGGCGCCUGUCGCCUCCGCCGAGGCAAGGGCGCCUGUCGCCUCCGCCGAGGCAAGGGCGCCUGUCGCCUCCGCCGAGGCAAGGGCGCCUGUCGCCUCCGCCGAGGCAAGGGCGCCUGUCGCCUCCGCCGAGGCAAGGGCGCCUGUCGCCUCCGCCGAGGCAAGGGCGCCUGUCGCCUCCGCCGAGGCAAGGGCGCCUGUCGCCUCCGCCGAGGCAAGGGCGCCUGUCGCCUCCGCCGAGGCAAGGGCGCCUGUCGCCUCCGCCGAGGCAAGGGCGCCUGUCGCCUCCGCCGAGGCAAGGGCGCCUGUCGCCUCCGCCGAGGCAUUUGAAACAGAUUCCGAACUUGAGGUACCGUGGCCGGUUGCUUCCGCUGCAGAAGCAAAGUGGCCGGUUGUUUCACCAAACGUAUUUAGGCCAGUCGUGGCGCUUGAUGAAGCACUGUGGCCAGAUGCUUCACCUAAGGUAUUUGGGCCAGCUGCCACACUUGUCGAGGCAUUAUGGGUGGCCGCUUGCGUGGCACUGUGGCCAGUUGCUUCCUCUGCAGAGGCACUGUGGCCAGUUACUUCACCUGAGGCACUUGGGCCAGUCGUGGCGCUUGAUGAAGCAUUGUGGCCAGUUGCUUCAGCUAAGGUAUUUGGGCCAGUCGUGACGCUUGCUGAGAUAUUAUGGGUUGCUGCUUCUGCUGAGGCACGGGAGUCGUCUCCUUCACCCAAGGUAUUUGGGCCAGUCGUGAUGCUUGCUGAGGUAUUAUGGGUUGCUGCUUCUGCUGAGGCACAGGAGUCGGAUACUUCACCCAAGGUAUUUGGGCCAGUCGUGACGCUUGCAGAGGCAUUGUGGUUGGCCGCUUCUGAGGCAUUAUGAGUGGCCGUUUGCAUGGCACUGUGUCCAGUUGCUUCCGCUGCCGAGGCACCGUGGCCAGUUGCUUCACCUAAGGUAUUUGGGACAGUCGUGGCGCUUGAUGAAGCAUUGUGGCCAGUUGCUUCAGCUAAGGUAUUUGGGCCAGUCGUGACGCUUGCAGAGGCAUUAUGGGUGAUCGCUUGCGCGGCACUGUGGCCAGUUGCUUCAGCUAAGGCAUUUGGGACAGUCGUGGCGCUUGAUGAAGCAUUGUGGCCAGUUGCUUCAGCUAAGGUAUUUGGGCCAGUCGUGACGCUUGCAGAGGCAUUAUGGGUGGCUGCUUCACCUGCUGAGGCACGGGAGCCAGUAGCUUCCGCUGCAUUGUGGCCAGUUCCUUUUACUUGAUUUUGGGGAAUAUAUCUAUAAUUACCUACAAAAGAAAAUAAUAUGUUUCAAAUCGUAAAAUGCCAGCAUUUGAAGCCAUUUAAUUUCACUGAAUUAAAUGUGCAGAACAAAACACACCUUUAGGUGGAGGAUAACAGGUUAUCCCUCCAAUUAGCAGGCAACAAAUCCAAGAAAUUCUAAAUAAAAACAAAAACAUCCUAGUCAGUUAAAUACAACUACCUGUAAAACAUGGAAGACAAGGGAAUCAAACUAGAGCCAUACAACUUACCUCAAAGACAUUUCAAAACUCACAGACAUUUUUCUCAUCAAAACCUCAGUAGUCAGAACUAAUGGUAGCCAGAAGCCUUACCAGGAGAUCCCUGAUAUUGUAUCUGAUUGUCUUUUUUGCUGCGCCUUACAAAGGAAUCCUAGACCCUUCUAAUUUGGCUGGU
rnacentral:lncRNA from 1 species